rnacentral:rRNA from 1 species
GAGUUUGAUCCUGGCUCAGGAUGAACGCUGGCGGCGUGCUUAACACAUGCAAGUCGAACGAACCUUCGGGUUAGUGGCGGACGGGUGAGUAACGCGUGAGAAUCUGCCCUCAGGAGGGGGAUAACGGUUGGAAACGACCGCUAAUACCCCAUAUGCCGAUAGGUGAAAUGAAUUUCGCCUGAGGAUGAGCUCGCGUCUGAUUAGCUAGUUGGUGAGGUAAUGGCUCACCAAGGCUUCGAUCAGUAGCUGGUCUGAGAGGAUGAUCAGCCACACUGGGACUGAGACACGGCCCAGACUCCUACGGGAGGCAGCAGUGGGGAAUUUUCCGCAAUGGGCGAAAGCCUGACGGAGCAACGCCGCGUGAGGGACGAAGGCCUCUGGGCUGUAAACCUCUUUUCUCAAGGAAGAAGAUAUGACGGUACUUGAGGAAUAAGCCACGGCUAAUUCCGUGCCAGCAGCCGCGGUAAUACGGGAGUGGCAAGCGUUAUCCGGAAUUAUUGGGCGUAAAGCGUCCGCAGGCGGCUUUUCAAGUCUGCUGUUAAAACGUGGAGCUUAACUCCAUCAUGGCAGUGGAAACUGAAAGGCUUGAGUAUGGUAGGGGCAGAGGGAAUUCCCGGUGUAGCGGUGAAAUGCGUAGAUAUCGGGAAGAACACCAGUGGCGAAGGCGCUCUGCUGGGCCAUUACUGACGCUCAUGGACGAAAGCCAGGGGAGCGAAAGGGAUUAGAUACCCCUGUAGUCCUGGCCGUAAACGAUGAACACUAGGUGUCGGGGGAAUCGACCCCUUCGGUGUCGUAGCUAACGCGUUAAGUGUUCCGCCUGGGGAGUACGCACGCAAGUGUGAAACUCAAAGGAAUUGACGGGGGCCCGCACAAGCGGUGGAGUAUGUGGUUUAAUUCGAUGCAACGCGAAGAACCUUACCAGGGUUUGACAUCCUGCGAACCUCUUAGAAAUUUGAGGGUGCCUUCGGGAAUGCAGUGACAGGUGGUGCAUGGCUGUCGUCAGCUCGUGUCGUGAGAUGUUGGGUUAAGUCCCGCAACGAGCGCAACCCACGUUUUUAGUUGCCAGCAUUUAGUUGGGCACUCUAGAAAGACCGCCGGUGAUAAACCGGAGGAAGGUGUGGAUGACGUCAAGUCAUCAUGCCCCUUACACCCUGGGCUACACACGUACUACAAUGCUACGGACAAAGGGCAGCAAACUCGCGAGAGCUAGCAAAUCCCAUAAACCGUGGCUCAGUUCAGAUCGUAGGCUGCAACUCGCCUACGUGAAGUAGGAAUCGCUAGUAAUCGCAGGUCAGCAUACUGCGGUGAAUACGUUCCCGGGCCUUGUACACACCGCCCGUCACACCAUGGAAGUUGGCCAUGCCCGAAGUCGUUACUCCAACCCUUGUGGAGGAGGACGCCGAAGGUGGGGCUAAUGACUGGGGUGAAGUCGUAACAAGGUA